UUAUUUUAUAUACUCACCUACUCCCUCCCACUACACCCACCUACUCCCUCCUUUUUAAAAAAAAGUUAACAUCACUACCCACUCCCACCACCAACUCCCUGCCAAACCCACUGAUAUACUUCACCCAUCCCCUUCCACUUUUACUCAAUCUCCCACACAAUUUGCCAUAUUUCACUUUCAAAAGGAAACCCAACGAACAAGUGCAGAGGCUUUGUGACCAGGGGGAUUAGCGCUGCUUUCCCAAGACAGGUUUAUAAGUGAUUAUGAUCUUCAGGCUUUGCCUAACCAGGUUGGCUGGCUGGUGCUGACGGGACGGAGCUGAGGCUAGAGUUAAAAUUCAUAUGUUAGACUUCCGCUGUAGCAAUUACUCUUAUACAUCUUUUGUUUUCUCAACUUAAGAUGACUUCAUGUCGAGCUUAAAUUUGAAAUUCUAGUUUUAUGUUAAUGAAUGUUGGUUGUCAGAAACAUGAAACAAAACUUGUGAUCCAAAGGGGCAUAGCCCGACUCUCUAUCUUAUUAUUCGGGUUUUAACAAGGUUGUUCCUUGUUUAUUUCUA